AACACAUAGCUUCAUUGUUUUCACCUGAUUCUCUUUUACUAUCGAGUCUGCCAAUGAAUAAUGAUCUAAGCUAAUGGUUACAAAUCCUAGUGUUUAGAGCAUUGGUCUCAUUCAUUUACUUAAUAAUCUUAACUAUAUAUGUAUAUAUAUAUAUAUGUUAAUAUAAAUUUACCCCGUUACCAACCUUGAAUAUAUGUUUUUCAAUAAUAGAAUGCUUGUUCUCCUUGUUUUCCAGAUUGCUUCUGAAGGACUCAAUCACCAAGUGUUGGAGGUUUCAUGGCUGAUCUUUGAGGAAAUGAGGAUCAAUCGUACAUGAAGUUCAGACUUAAAGUUGAGGAUGUUCAAAGAAAGAAUGUUCUUACCAACUGGGGAAUGGAUUUUACAGUUGAGAUCUCUUGCAAGUAAGUGGAAGACAUUGAUUGAAGCUCAUAAUGAUGUCAAGACAACAUACAACUUCACUUUGAGGAUGUUCUGCAUUAGAUUCACCAAGUAGCGAGACAAACAGGUCAAAAGAACCUGUUAUGCUCAAUCUAGCCAGAUUUGAGAGAUUCGUCACAAGAUGGUUGAAAUCAUGGUUACCAGGCCUCUUCAAGUUAUUUAAAGAAUUGGUGGCAGAAUUUAUCCCUGAGAUGAUUGGAAAAGGAUAUUGAGAAGGGUACAUCAAGCAUUUGCCCAUUGCAGAAUGCCUUCAUCAGGAAGGUCAUGAUCAAAAGUUUGAUAAAAUUAUGGAUGCAAGUUGUGUUAUGCGAUAGGGAAGGAGUACUUGGAGAUGUUGCAAGAGGUGACAUGACUAAAUGGCCAAAAACUUAUGUAAAUCUUGUAGGAGAGUUACCAUAUUAGAGUGACAAUAUCAGUA